AGGAGGUUUGUUCUCUCUUGCCCUUCCGCCCUCUACUCUGUGAGGACACAGCAAGAAAGCUCUUGCCAGUUGUCAGCACCCUGAUUUGGACUUCCUAGCCUCCAGAACCAUGAGAAAGAAAUUUAUGUUCUUUAUAAAUCCCCCAGUCUGUGGUAUCUGUGUUAUAGCAGAACAAAUGGAUUAAGAGACACGAGAUAAGCAUUUCUUUUUCUAGAAGAUGGGACUACCAUUCCUGGAUCCUGGGCUAGAAAUUCCACAUACUUAUAUAACUAGGGCUUUCUCACAGAAGUUUGAACUUCUCCACAAAGUUGGGACAACUUUGCUCUGGAAGUGUGGAAAGGCAGGUAUUACCUGUGGGCUGUGGUAAUCAUAAAACUACCCUAUGGCACACUCAGAGGGAGAAGUUGGAGUUAUUCUUCCUGUGAUUGGCCACACAGUGUGCCCUCGUUGAUUGAUGUGUCUUUUGGAUGGAGCCCUCUUCAUCAAUAGAAAUGAGAGUAUCCUGGAGAAAUCCCCUCUACCUGGUCUAAUAGAGAGACUCCAUGACAAGAAAUUAAGCCAAGUUCCUUCCUUCCUUUAAAUUCACGGUCCAGAGGAAAGCGUUAGCAUCUAAGUGGAGCUGUCUAGCUAUUAUUCUAACUCGUGAAGAUUCUAAUCCCUGAGUGACACUGGCUGCUAUUAGCCUGAUACCGCUCCCAUGCUGAGCACGGAUGCAGUGAGUGAGCUUGUCACAGCCCAUCAGCAGGCCCCACCCUGGAAAUCAGUCUCUGACAAUGACAGUAAUCCCCAAGCCUCAUUGGGAGGUGGCCCCAUAACCUCAGGGCUCCAGUGUAGGAUUUUGAAUCUGGUUUCUUCUCUAUCCAGCCCAGGCCACGUACCAAAUAAGCCACCAGUGCCUAGCAUAGAGAAGUGGAUAUGCUUAUGGUGUAAAUAAAUACAUGAAUGAAUGCUACUGAGCUUAAAGCCAGCAGAAACUCUGGGGUUGGAGCCAGUCCCCAUGUGGAGAGGAGGCAGGACCUGACAUGUAACUACAGAAGACUGGGAACACAUGAUGGUUCCUGACAGCUGAGACCCUUGAGAUCUUCUUAGGGCCACACCAGCUGAUAGUACUGUGCUCGGGGCUGAGGGGGAAGCCCUCCAGUGUGCAGGACUAGAAAGGCCAAUGGAACUCUCCUCUUCCACCAUCUCUUCUCCUAGAAUGUUUUCCUUGUCCUCUAUUGAGCAUUUCCUCCUUCCGAUCUCAUCUACAGUUCAAUUGAACAAAAUAUGGCAAGCAGGAGAAUCUCCUGGGCCAGUGGUUCUCAGAGUAAAAACAUAACCACCUCAGAGAUUUAGGGACCCCAGAUAUUUUUCUACAAGAUCCCUGGGUGAUGGGGUUGAGAGUUGCCAUGCUGGUCAGACACAAAACUUCCAGCACCCCUCAUUUUUCUAUGUGGACAGCUAAGGUGUAUGUAAGCUCUCCUUUUGCUCUUUGACAAGUCUGGAAGGUUAUUUUGUCACUUACUCUACUCACUUUCAAGUAUCUCAGAAUAUUUCUUAUCCAGAAGGACUGAGGUCUUACUUAAUAGCUAUUAAAGAUAUUUCUGAAGGUAGAACUUCAAAAGAACACUACGAUUUUACAAAGAUGUUUUUAUGUAAUGUUUUUACAUGACUGUAAAUAAAUACUUCAAACUAGUUAUUAUUCCUUUGUCAAGUGUGAACAGCUGCAAAUAAUGAACAACAAAAAAUCUAAAAAAUAAAAAAAAUGAAGGCUUAUGAAUAACCAACAAGACUACUGUGACAUCACCACAGAUAUAUCUAGGAUCCUGCUAACCCUGCUGACCUGGACUGUGGAUCACCCCAUCAUCCUGUGCACGACAUUGACUCAUGCCUCAAAUAUUUCAGUGGACGAUCAGUGCAAUGACAAGACGGGCUGAAUUAGGGAGCAUCCACAGCUGGAGCGCCUCUGGACAGAAGCGUGGGACGAGGUCUUAUUUACAUGGUUAGCUUCCAAUCCAGAUGUGUUUACUUUCAAGAAAAUUUCAGAUCCCUUGAAGCAAAAGGUUGAGAUUGCUGUCACCACCAGCAGCAUCACGAAUCUGUGUGAGAUGUUUAUGCUCUCUUCUAGUUCAGUUAAUCCCUCGGAAAGUGUGACCAAAUGAUUUUUUUUUUUACUAUGUUUCCAUCUGUUUCCAGAAUGCUUACAUCUUCAGAAGGAAGAAACUCUAUACCCAAACCUCCAUCUUUAUUUGAAGGCCAGCUCAGUAUCUGUCUCUGAGGUUUCUGAUAAGUUACCAUCACCAUAAAAUUCGCUUUUAAACAUUG